UACGUAGGGUGCAAGCGUUGUCCGGAAUUAUUGGGCGUAAAGAGCUUGUAGGCGGUUUGUCGCGUCUGCUGUGAAAUUUCGGGGCUCAACCCCGAACUUGCAGUGGGUACGGGCAGACUAGAGUGUGGUAGGGGAGACUGGAAUUCCUGGUGUAGCGGUGAAAUGCGCAGAUAUCAGGAGGAAUACCGGUGGCGAAGGCGGCCUUCUGGACGAUGACUGACGCUGAGACGCGAAAGCGUGGGGAGCAAACAGG
rnacentral:rRNA from 1 species